UACGUAGGGUGCAAGCGUUAAUCGGAAUUACCGGGCGUAAAGCGUGCGCAGGCGGUGAUGUAAGACAGAUGUGAAAUCCCCGGGCUCAACCUGGGAACUGCAUUUGUGACUGCAUAGCUGGAGUGCGGCAGAGGGGGAUGGAAUUCCGCGUGUAGCAGUGAAAUGCGUAGAUAUGCGGAGGAACACCGAUGGCGAAGGCAAUCCCCUGGGCCUGCACUGACGCUCAUGCACGAAAGCGUGGGGAGCAAACAGG
rnacentral:rRNA from 1 species